AAAGAAAACCACUCAGGAGAAUCACUUGCAAAGCAAGAGACAAACAGCGUUCCAGCAACCGUCACAGGCGGUAAGAAGGAACUGAAGGUGUGGCAGGAUGUCACAUACCUAUAUACUGCAGUAUGAGGGUGCCACUCCAGGGGGCACCAGAGUCAAGCCGAUGGAUACCACUAGGGGAAAAACUUCUGGUGACGGUGCACGCACACCUACAUUGGAACAGACAUGAGCAAGCAGUCAAAGAACUCCAGUUACUAUAAGGUCCUGAUGGGGCGAUGGAGCUGAGAAACAGGUGGAGUGCUGGGGCCUGAAGUGUUUCCUCAAAGGCACCAUAAAGACCCAGAGACUUGAGGGUGGCUUUGGAGUCUUUCAGACCAUGGAGCUUUGCAUCUGUUUGCUCUGAGAAGAGCGAAGCGCCUUCAAACAGAAGGUCUGAAUGGACUGCUCGACCUCCAUUGGAGCCAAGACCAUCUGUGCAUGACCACUGUAGAAGCCAUGGAUCUAGCCGCCCAGUCUUUUGCAUCCAGGGGAACCUGCAGGGAAGUCCUGGCUACAUACUUACACUCAUCUACCAGAGCACAGAACUCCUGCCUGAACUCCUCGGGAAUUGAGUCCUUGAAUUUUAACAUCUAGUCACAGACGUUAAAGUCAUACCUCCCGAACAACCCCACCUGCUGGUUGGAGCUGCAGACCUCCGUAGAAUAAACCUUUGUACCAAAA